GUUAGAAGUUCUUCUCAUAGUAAUGACAUUCGGCGCCACAAGAUGGCGGUGUAAGUGCGGGAAAGGGAAGACAUUUGAACGCGUCCAUAAGAGUUUUUUCUGCUUUUUACCCCUUAGUGAUCCAUUUACUGCGGCAAUGGAGUUUUAUUUUCAACUCAAGGCCCAGUGUUCUACAACAUCUUAACACACAGCUUUCUAAACCCACCAUAAUUUACACCUGUGGAAAGAGAGGACAUGAAGAGAACGCUAACUGCAUAGGCCUACUUGGCUAAUAAAGAGUGUGUUUGCAUGUGUCCCGCUGUUGGUGUUGGUGCUGCUCACGGGCCUCGCAGCUGUAUCGUGGUGCUGUUCCAGCAAGAGCUGAAUGUGUGUGUGUUUACUGGCAGAGAUGUGUCAAGGCCUGCUUGUGUGUCCAUGUGCUCGGGCGGCUGGGGGCAGGUUUCUCCCACAGUCGUGAGUGCUGGGCUGUGUGGCUGCAUGUUUAUAUUGGAGCCUGGACUUCCUAGUGGCAGCCUGCACCUAUCUAAACAUCCCUCUGGCCGCUGCUCUGUGUUCCCGGCCUCGCACAGCCUCCCUCUCUCCUUGCCAUGCUUUGCUCCGCUCCGGGCUGGAAUGCAUCGGGGAAGAUGACUGAGAAGAAAGAGACGGAAAAAGAGGCAGUUUUUUUCACAUGCAGACAUUCCGCUCUUUUCCAUUACAUGUUGCAUCCCUCUAUUUCUGAAUGGAGGGUUCCUGAGAUUCUCCGAACUCUGACUUCAGCAGACUGUUGUUCCACAUAUACUCACAUGUUCAGCUUGUUAUUUAAAUGGGGAUGUAGUGUACAGUCCCACAAAAGAAAGAUGCAGUAACUACACAUAAAUCAAAAUCUGGUUUGUGACAGACAAGUUUAGGUCAGCUACACUCAGAUUCAGAGAAAACAAGUGUGAAAAAUGAUUUCAGAUCAAUUAAGGUUAAUCAGAAGAACAUUACUAGUUGUAGUGUUGGUGGUUUGAUGUUAGCAAAAUCUGUAUUAUUUAUUUAUUUAGACCACCGA
rnacentral:lncRNA from 1 species